rnacentral:lncRNA from 1 species
CAUGGCUUCACAGUGCGCCUACAGGCUGUCUCUAAUUUUUCCUGAAUUUUUCUCGGGGAACUGAAACGCACUACUGGUACCUACACAUGUUCCAAAAAAAUCCCAAAUUAGGCCCAGGGCCCCUUUCGGCCCAAAUUGCAACUCCGGCACGGCGGCUCCGCCGUGCUCCGGCGACGGUGCCGCCACUGGCGGCGGCGAUUCACCUCGGGUUGGCUGUUUUCGGCCACACUCGCAUUGGUCCCUGCGAGAAAACAACCCUAGGGCCCUUGGGGGGCCAAAAAAUCACAGAAAAACGGAGCUUACCGGCGGCGGCGCUCUCGGGUGCGGCGGCUCUCCGGCGAGGUUCGUGUUUUGGUGAUUCGGCUCCGGUCAACCUGUAGAGAAAAGAGUGGUGAUCACGGUGAUAUAAAAUUUGCAUCAAAUGGAGGCCGGGAAGGGCCUCAUCGGAGGCAAAAACUGAGAAGGGUGCGGCGGCGCCGCUGGGCUUCGGCCGUGCAUUCCGGUCGUUUGGCCAGGAUUUUGGCUCCGAUUUGGCCACAGGAGGAAUCAGCGUGGAAAAAUGAGUCGGGGGUACAAAAUUUACCUCGAUCGGCGGUCGGAAGUUCCUCCGGUGCGGCGGCGGGUAGCGGCGGCCGGCUUCUGGUUCGUCUUCUCCGGCGAGCGGCUGGCGGCUAGGGUUUGUGGUCUGGUGUGGGGGUUCUAUUUAUAACCCCUUGCCUUUUGAUCUCAGCCGUCCAUUUUGUUUUAAUCUGGGCCGUCCGUUUUUGAUUAAAUCUGGGCCGUCCGUGUGUUUAAAUCUGGACCGUCCGAUCGCACGCUUGAUCUGGGCCGUCCGAUCGCGCCCACGCGGAUCGCCAACGUGGCCCUUUUUAGAACGACGUGGUUUUACCACGUGGCAGGUCCCGGUUGGCCGGGCCUGCUGACGUGGCUGCUGACGUGGCUUUUUUUUUUUUUUUUUUUUUCCUUCUCGGUCCGGGCGCUACAACGUGAGUAUUUGUCUAAUAGUGUUAGGCACAAUGUUGGUAAUAAGUGCCUAUUUGAACAAAAUUUAGAAGUAUAGAUU